UAACGUGUUGGUACUGUGUAA
rnacentral:siRNA from 1 species